rnacentral:rRNA from 1 species
UACGUAGGGUGCGAGCGUUAAUCGGAAUUACUGGGCGUAAAGCGUGCGCAGGCGGUUCGUUGUGUCCGAUGUGAAAGCCCCGGGCUUAACCUGGGAAUGGCAUUGGAAACUGGCAAGCUUGAGUGCGGCAGAGGGGGGUGGAAUUCCGCGUGUAGCAGUGAAAUGCGUAGAGAUGCGGAGGAACACCGAUGGCGAAGGCAGCCCCCUGGGUCGACACUGACGCUCAGGCACGAAAGCGUGGGGAGCAAACAGG